CCGGAAGAGGAAUUGCCCUGAGGGCUCCGGAGGCGGCUGCGCGAGCCGGGGCUGGAGCUCCCGUGGAGUUGGCGGGAAAGACGUGGCUGUGGGUGCCCCCUUUCGGCCGGGAGGAGUUAGAGCCCCUCGAGGUGGCGUCCCCGCCAGAGCGGUUACCGCGGUCCUCUGGCCACCUGCAAGAGAUGACAGGGAGACUAUGACCUAAAACCUGCGAAACUCCUCUUCCUGGUGCACCUACCCCUGGCCUCUGCAAAGACUCCAGUGGUUUUUACAGUGCAAAUGUUGCUGCCUAUACAAACCGAAUCACUCGUUCUCUGAGCAGAGACAGAGACAGCGAGAGCAGGAACACAAGCAGGGGGAGUGGGAGAGAGAGAAGCAGGCUUCCCGCCGAGCAGGGAGCCCGAUGCGGGGCUCGAUCCCAGGACUCUGGGAUCAUGACCUGAGCCGAAGGCAGCCGCUUAACGACUGAGCCACCCAGGCGUACCGGUGGCCAUUUAUUUUUAACAUUUCUGUUAAGAGCUACUUCGGUGUCAGACAAACAACAGAAUAUUUAUCACAAGCUGUGACAGCGGACAGCGGAAUGGAAAGCACACUGAAUUCGAUUUCAGUCGGAGAGACUGAGGAGCACCGAUUGCGAUAGAGAAUCUCGCCGCUCGCGCAAGGUUUCCCUUCCUAAAGGGCGUCAGCGCCGGUGUCCAGGCCGGGCGCUCCAGCUCCGGGGCAGCGCCUCCCCUCCCCGGCCCAGGACUCGGGAGGGCGCUCUACCCGCGCGGCUCGCGUGCAGGCAGCGGGAACGACGACGUCGGCGCCUCCCCUGCACGACGUACGGUCCCGAGGCCUCCCUGGCCCUGAACUCAGUGCGCAGCCCCUCAGGCACCGCAGCGCGGCUGCGUCGGCCGCGGGCCCGGCGCCCUCUGGGGUGCCGAGAAGCACGUGGACCAGGCCGUCACGCCCGAGGCGGCUCGCUGCCCAGGAUCAAGUGUGCGCCCCGCUGCUGGCUUUCCCUGCCCUUUUGCGUACACAGAAUUUCAUCUUCAUUUCAAUUCAGAAUCAGCACGUAAUCUUCUGGGAGACAUUUUUAAAAGGCCGUUAAACUCAAGGUCGUACUGACAACGCACACAACCCCGCGGAUGACGACCACGUCGGAACGGCCACGUCCAAAUCUGCGCAUGCGCGCCGAGUGACCACGGCUUCCCAGCGAUCUCAGGUUACAACCCAAUUUCAGAACGCUAAAAUGUGAAGGAAUCGGCGUAUUGGAGUCGUUGCAGUGUUGUGUUGCUGUUUACAAGCAUGAGUUAAGGUCGAAAAUUCACUUUUGCUUUUUUUUUCCAGCUAAAAAACUAGUAAGUGGAGACAUGUGCUUUGCUAAAAAUACAGUCAAACUUGAAAAACUUUUUAUUUUUUUUACUUAAGUGGGAUAAUCUAUUGAUAUUAUUCUCAAGUUUGAAUGUUAUGCUUAGCAGUGUAUCAUGGACUUGUUUCCGUGUCAGUACAGAAGCAUCGAGAGCCUUUUUGGUUUUUCUAAAAUAAUAUGGUCAGAGGCGGAUCCAGGUUUUGUGGGGCUUACAGCUUAUACAAAUAGAGGGACCCCUUUUAAGAAAAAGAUUUAAAAGUUAGAUAUGGAAGUGAAUAUUUUUAGAUGAGAAAUCGCAACAAAUUACACAUUUUGGAAAGCUGACAACACAAAUCAUCGCAAAAUUCAGAGAAAUAACAUAAUAUUAUUAAUGAAUAGUACCAAUACCCUGCACGCGUAUAUAUUGCUUUCCCUUGCAUGGGGGGGGGGGGGAAGGAUAUACUUUUUUUUAUUACUUCUUCAUAUGACAAGGAUUCUGUCAAAAUUUGAUCUGAGGUAGAACUUCGAUUAAUAUCAGCACAAGCAAUUUUUUUACUAUUAUGGAUUUAUUUUAUGGAAAAUUAAAUCGAUCCAAAAUUUGUAAGGAUGUAGAGCACUUGGGAGAGGUUGCUUAUAUUUAAUUCUAUUCAAUGUCAGUCAAACAGCACACCCCAUAGAAUAAGAUGAGGUAUUUAGUUUUGGUGAUGAAGGCAAGUCAAAACAAACUGCCACUUCUCUAAAAUAUUUGGUUGGAUAUUUUAUUUUUGCUGAAAUAUGUGGGUCUGUACCUCAUUUCUCUAUGAAAAUUUGGUGUGACCUCCAGAUUUUUACUAUUAGUAUUUGGCAUUUCGUUAACACAAAGAUUAAAGGAUCUUCAUUUGCACUGGGCAUCAUUCAUUGCUUGGUUAGUACCAUCCUGUGUGUUGGCCAAACUCAGAUGUUGGAGAGAAUUAGUUAAUUUUAUAUUUAUGUAUAUUUCCAUUAAUAUACACAACUUGGGCCAGUAGUAGUAUUUAUCACCUCAUAUAUAUUUUUUGUUUGUAAAAUUGCUUUCUUAAAACAGUAUAAGAAUACAAAUGAAAAUAAAGGAACACGUAGGGGUUAUUUGACUAUGAUACAGCCUCUCAUAACUUGGGCCAGUGGUAAAAGUUCAUGGGCUUUAUUUAGUAUGUGCUAAGCUGUCACUAAGUUCUCCCUAAUCUAUCCUUGUAUUAAAUACUUACAUAUUUAGUGAAUUAAACAGUGAAUGUGAUGAAUCUCAAGGGUUUUUAAAAAAUAUUAUUUAUUUAUUAGCACGAGUGGGGUGAGGGGCUGAGAGAGAAGCAGACUCCCUGCUGAGCAGGGAGCCCAAUGAGGGGCUUGAUCCCAGGACACUGGGAUCAUGACCUGAGCCAGAGGCAGACGCUUAACCGUCUGAGCCACCCAGGUGCCCCUCAAAGUUUUUUUUUUAAUAGUAGUUUGAAUACUGUACAUGGUUAUAUCUUAACUUAACAUGACCAACCUAAACAAAUUAUUGAAUUACACAUUUUAAAUUAGAGACACAGGCCAUCACUCUAAUAGGCCAAAUUCUCUUAUAUGUUACAAGUGUAUAAAAUCUGAAAUACACACAGGUUCCUGCUUGCCAGACAGUAAUGCUAUGGAUCACAUGGAUCAUGUCCUUGGGUGGAAAUCUGCACACACUACCUGCUGCUUCUGUCCAUUCGCAGAGGGGCACCUAGGUGGCUCAGUUGGUUAAGUGUCUGCCUUCGGCUCAGGUCGUGAUCCCAGGGUCCUGGGAUCAAGCCCCACAUCAGGCUCCCUGCUCAGCGGGGAGCCUGCUUCUCCCCCUCCCUCCUGCUUGUGCACUCUCUCUCUCUCUCUCCAAUAAAUAAAUAAAUAAAUAAUCUUUAAAAAAAUAAAACAUGUUGAUAAUUUCCUUACCCUUUCUCUUAUGCUUAAAAUCCUGAUUCCAAACAAAAUUAAUACAAUUACUAAUGUUGUCUUACAAAAUUAUCAAAUAAAGUUUAAGAUUUUUUUUUGCAGUUAUUUUUAUCCUUAUACUUAAUGCCACUAAGGAUGUGUAGCCCAAUUAUUUUCUGGUAGAGUCAUUCAUAAUAAUUCAUUCUGAGUCUUUGUAAUUACAUGUAUCACAUACAUAUAUCAUAUGUGAUUAGUAUGAUUUAGUUUGUUUCAGUUCUGUGAGGUUAUCAGCAAUUUUCUUAGAAGGUGGUGGCUUUCAGCCAAGACAUUUUCUUCUUAUGUGAUAUUCAAAUCCUGGAGCAUGGUAGAAACCAAUUAUCAGCCUACCUUAAGAGAUGAGAAGUAAAGGGCAAAUCAAGCAAAUGAAUUUCCCAAAUUAUGUAUGAAAGUUUCAUUUAGCUACUGGCUGGUCUUUAUGAAAUGACCAAAUGUAAUAGAUGCAUCUGAUUCAUAUGCACAAGUUCUGGUUGGGCAGCCUAAUUCUGUCUUCUGUUUAAUUUCUGGCAAUAUUAGAACCUACAUAUUUUCAUACAUCCCAUUAAUAUUUAAUUUAGUAAAUAUGAGAUGAUAUUAAAACCUUUAAAAUUUAUUAUUCUUUUUUAGCUCCCUUAUCUAAUAGGUAACAUUUUUCUACCAAUUUAAUAAUACCACAUUAUACCUAAAUUUACAAUGUAUCAAAUCCAGGUGAUUCUCUAAGUUUUAUCCCAGUCCAGUACCAAAAUCUUUAAUUUUCCUCCAGGAAGAUUUUAACAAGGUACAUAGUAUCUUAGAAUUCUGUGUUAAGAAAGGAGGCUGAGUUAGUCCUGCUCUUCUGAGGAACAGAUAGCAAGACAGGAUUAGCCACACAAGAGACUUACUAAGGGAACAUCUCUGAGGGAAAAUGAGGAGGGAGCUGGGGGCAGCUGGAGAGCUGUCCGCUUGUGAUGUGAAGGACAGAGGGAGAAAAGGAAGGUGGGGUGCAAGAGUUUUAGCCAAUAGUGUAGUCCCUGUAGCAUAGUCCUAAGAAGGUUCAAUAUGACGGAUGAGGAGUCCUCAAGUCAAAGUUGUCCAUUAGAGGAAGCUCAUGUCUCCUGGAAAGGGGCUGGCUUUUGUGUCCGUGGGGCACAGAGCCACUGGCUGGGAGCAGUGCUGGGAAGCCUGGCUUCAUUCAGUACAGACAUCAUGGUGGAUUUUGGAAUAAGUACAGCUUACUCUGGGUACAUUGGCCAGUAAUACUUUCUGCAUUUAGGGAUCUGAGAGACACAUGUUCAUGGCCACCACAGAUAAAAUAUAAGCUUUAAAGAUUUUGUCUGAGAGCCUCUCUACUUGGGUCAAAAUUCUGAUGUCACAUUGAACAUAAUAAUUACUAUCCUAAUUUUUAAUUACAGUGUAGAAUUCCAGUUUUAAGAAGCCUUUGCAUAAGUCAUAUUACUUUUUUGAGGUUAAGACCAUGCUUUUUAAAAAAAUAGAUGUAUUUGCUUAAAACCCAUUCUUAUUUUAGCUUUAUACGAAUACAUACAUACUUAUACACAUUCAACCAAAGGAGUAAACACAAAGUUGUAUAUAUAAUCGAAGCAACAGAACUCUUAGAAGUUUCCAAGCAGACCAUUUGAUAAUUACAGCACCCCAAGUGCUUUUUGGAAGUAAGGAUUUUUUUAAAUUGGUACAAAGAGAAUUGUUUUAUGUGUGUGUCUGGAUAGAUAGGUUGUAUAUAAGACUUUAAGUAGUUCUCCUUUUUUUAAUUAAAAAAUUGCCUUACUCGAUGCCUCUUAUUAGACUAAGACUUGUAAAAUAUAAGACUUAAAUCUAUGUCUAUAUAAAAUAUGUAAUGUAUUUUCUUAAUGACUCUUGUUAGACUAAGACUUUUUUCAUUUGAAAUACAAACAAUUCAUUUCUAACCUGGCCUUCUGCAGUCUGGACUUACCUGAGGAGAGAUUUAUGUCAUUUUCAUCUGGUCUCAAGUACUCAAAUGUUCUACCUUUAAUGGACAAAAAAAUGUUCUAAUUAUUUCUAAAGUAUGCCUCCUUGCCAGCUUGAGGAUUUCAGUGCUAAUGCUUUAAGGCUUGAUCUUCCAUGAAAUUAAAAAGCACCUUAUAGUGAAGUUCCUGGUAUCCCUGGCUCACAUCUUUGGAAAC